rnacentral:rRNA from 1 species
UACGGAGGGUGCAAGCGUUAUCCGGAUUCACUGGGUUUAAAGGGAGCUUAGGCGGAAUAAUAAGUCAGUGGUGAAGGCCCCGGGCUCAACUUGGGAAUUGCCAUUGAUACUGUUAUUCUUGAGUUCGGUUGAGGUAGGCGGAAUGUUGCAUGUAGCGGUGAAAUGCUUAGAUAUGCAACAGAACACCGAUUGCGAAGGCAGCUUACCAAGCCGACACUGACGCUGAGGCUCGAAAGCGUGGGGAUCAAACAGG